rnacentral:tRNA from 1 species
CAAAUUAGAGCUUGAGUUUAAAGUAUUUCAUUUACAUUGAAAUGAUAUUAAUAAUUUAAUUAAUUUGA